AUGCCCAAAACCAGGUGUAAAUACUGUUAAAACUACUAAUACAAUUCAAGAGUCAAACGCAUCAAAAAAAUAACCACAAAUGAAUAAUAUCUAUCUCCGAAUACUAAUAAAGACAUAAUUACUAAAGAAAGAUAGAGGGGAACUUCAGACGCAUGAAUGUCCAAUCGCUACCUUGGAAGCUCCAACAAUCGCCUGAUUCAAGCAAGCUGAGGCGCACUCGAGCUAGGACCUGCAUCGAAAGGGCGCAGUAAGCAUAAGUACGGUCCACUUGUACUUAGCAGGUAUCAUAGGUCGACCAAGAAAAGUAGUAAAUAAAGCAUACAAAAUAUACACUAAGGGCACGUCAGCUGUAAUCAGAAAAUAUCCUACAACGAUAGCCCAUACAGCUUGCACUAAUAGUUCUAAUAUAUCUCACAUAUAUUGCAACAUCAUACCAAGAUAGAAUAAAAGAACGCAUUAUAUCACAUAUAAAAAUAACAAGGAGAAUAUGCAUAUACAAGAUCAUCAAAUACAAGUAAAAGAAGAUAUGAUAAAUACAUAGAUGACAAGUCAAUAUGCAUAUAUAACACAACAACAACAACAAAGCCAGUGUAUUCCCAUGCAUUGGGGCCAAUACAACACAACACAACACAAUAAAGUAAGUGCAAUGUAUAUGAUAUGAUAAUGAUUGAUGAUGAUGAUGAUGAUGAUGCACGAGGUCGUCGCACAACUUCUGGGAUCAUCGCACAAUCCCCAUAUACACCUAUGGAGGCAAGCCUCCCAAUGCAGGACCCAUAGGUGGUUCGUCAACCCGUAUACAUUCCACAUAUCUCAUAUAUCCUUUUUGGCAUAUCCUUUGGAAAGAUUUUUAUAAGGUGUUACAAUAUCUUUUAAAAAGGUGUUGCCAGUGUUUCUCAGAUAUUGCCGUGGUGGUACCAAUGUUUUAUGAAUAAGUAUGAUAUGAAGAUAUAAUGCUCACAACCAAUCACAAUGAGUAUUUCCACAACCAACCACAUGAUGUAUUUUCACAACCAACCACAAUGAUAUAUUUCCACAACCACAUGAGCCAAUAUCCACUCAUUAUUUUUGUUUCAUCCAUGAAUUUCCACAUGUCUCAUAUGUCAAUAAGGUAUGAAUAUAAUCAUAAUACAUCAAUGGUACCAUAUUAAGCAUUUUAACAACACAAUACAAUUAUUUACAUAUUUUCAAGGCUAUUAAUAUCACAUAAGACCCCACACGGUCACACAUAUCACAUAAUAACUCAAUUUCGACAAUUACAUCACAUAUAGGCCCCCACACGGGCUCAAAACAUAAAUAGCCAUUUUUCAUGAUUAGUUUCCACCCUUAACAUGCAUUUGUAUUAUCAUUUACUACCCAGACCAGUCUGAAAGAGUUAAGCCAUAGCCUACCUCAAAAGCCUAAACCGAUCCACUAUCCUUGAACCUGCGAUCUUACUUUUUACAAACAAUCUCGAACUCCACUAAAAAUAUCAAAUAUGAAAUCUACGUGUCAAUACAAAACCAACGACACCCAUAUUAACUACUUUUGGUUCGGAGUCAAAAUGGACCCCCAAAAUGGGUUUUUGAAAAAGAAGGAAAAAAUCAGAACUUUACUUCAAAAACAUGUUCUCCAUAUUUUUAGGAACCUACAUCUGAAAACUCAAGUUAAAUCGAGUAAAAGAUGGGGUUAAAUUUAAAGAAAAAUCAUUUUUGAGAUUUAUCUGGUAAAAUCUUGAAAAUCUGGGUUAAAAUCAAGAAUCAGAGUUGUUUUGAAGGUUAAAUUAACGAAAAACUAGUAAUUAUAAGAUAAAAAAUUUUAUUCAAGUGAAAGGAGUGAAAUUUGAGUUUAAAAUCAUGCCGUAAUAUUUUGGGGGUUUUGAGGAAUUUAUGAAGAAUUUUUGUUUUUUUGGUCAAUUAAGAAAUUUUUUCAUUCAACCAAAGUAUCAACAUUACAAGGUCCUGCCAGUCUUUUUGGACUCGAACUGGUUACUCAGUUCUCGUUUGACAGACAAUCUGUUUUACAGUAUAUCUAAACUAGCACUACAUUCAAGCAUUUUACAUACAAGUCUUGCUAAUUUGGAUAUCUUGUCAAUUGCUGCAAUCUUGAGCACCAUUUGGGAUAUUGUUGCCCUGCAAUAUAGAUCUCCAUUUCAAUAUCAUGAAGCCUCUGUAUUGAUUCUUUAGCUUGAUUCCUAAACCUUCUUGCAUUUCGUUCAGCCCAUAUCUGAUAGACUGCUGCCACAAAGCAGAAGCCCAGUAAUCCUGCCUGAGGUCUAUUGUUUUUGAUCAUUUUGGUAAGCCAAGUAACUUCCUGAUUCCAUUCCCCAAUGGUCUUGUUAUAUCCUAGCCAUUUUAAUAGCCCUGACCAGAUACUUGUUGAGUAUGGACAUUCAAAGAAAAGGUGGUCAGCUGUUUCUAUUGUAUCCUUUUUACAUAACACACAAUCUGUGGACACUGUUUUGCCCCACUUCAAUAUUUGAUCCACUGUAUUUAAUCUAUUGUGCAGUGCUAACCAUAAACUAAACCUUUGCCUGGGAAGUUGGCCUUGCAUUAACACUAAUCUGCUCCACUCCACUUUGUUAUAAUGAGGUAGCAUACCUAGGUAGCUUUUUCUUAUGCUAUAACCUUGAACUCUUGUGUAUGCUUGUAGUUUAUCCUGGACAGUACCUGUACCUUCAAGCCAUUUUUUUGCAUCAAUAAUCUUCCUGACAAUCCAGCUUACUUUCUUUGGAGUUGUCACUGUGUCAAUUGUCAUAUUCUUUAUAUAGUAAGCAUGGAUCCAUCUCACCCAUAAUCUAUCUUUUUUUUGUUCCACAGCCCAUAAGAGUUUGCAUAUUGCUGCCUUGUUCCAUCUAAUAAGAUCGAUCAUAUUUAAACCACUUGCUAUUUUAGGCAUGCAUACUGUUUCCCAAGCAACCAAAGCCUUUUUUGAACACUCAUUACUUCUAGUCCACAAGAAGGUCCUACACAUAGUAGUCACUAGAUCCAAGACUUUCUUAGGGAGAAGCAAUAUCUGAGCCCAGUAGGUUUGCAUUUCAAAUAAUACACUCUUCACCAAUUUGAGUCUACCACUGUAAGAUAAUAAUUUGGAUGACCAACAUUUAACUCUUACUAUCAUCUUCUCCACUAUUGUCAUGCAUUAUUGAAUUAAAACCUUUCUGGUUGAUAAAGGCACUCCUAGGUACUUGAAGGGUAGUGUACCCAAAGACAGUCCCAGGUUAGUCAGCAUUUUCUCUCUAAACUCAGCCUCCACUCCUACAAUGAAUAGUGAACUCUUUUCCAUGUUUGCAUAAAGACCUGAUACUCUAGAGAAAUGUUGGAAUGUAUUAAAUAGCAAGUUGAUUGAGAUCUUAUCAGCCCUGCAGCUCAUUAGCAAAUCAUCAGCAAAAUAGAUAUGGAUAAUACCCAGUUUUUCACACCUUGGGUGGUAGUUAAAUUGUGGAUUGUGCCUCAGUUGUUGCUGGUUCCUAUGUAGAUAUUCCAUUACUAGGAGAAAUAGGUAAGGGGACAUGGGAUCCCCUUGCCUAAGUCCUUUUUUUGCUUGGAACUGUGGGGUCAAGCCACCAUUGAUGAGUAUACCAUACUGAACAGUAGUGACACACUCCAUUAUCAAAUUAACCAUCUUAGCAGGUAGUCCAAAUUCUAAUAAAACCAUUCUUAGAAAUGGCCACUCGAUAGAGUCAUAGGCUUUUCUAAUAUCAACUUUAAUUGUACAUCUAGCUGAGACCCCCUUCUGGGAAUAUCCUUUAACAAGUUCAUAUGCAAGCACCACAUUGUCAAGAAUACUUCUACCCUCUAGAAAACCUGAUUGUGCAGGGCUCAGUAGGGUGUCAACCACCAUUUUCAGCCUAACAGUUAGGAUUUUAGCAAUUAAUUUAUAUAGGGAGUACAACAUGCAAUAGGUCUAUAUUCUUUGACAUAAGUAGGAUUAGGGACUUUGGGGACCAGGGUAAUGGUAGUGAUAUUAGUGCCCUUUAGAAGUUUACCAUUCUCAAAAAAUUGGAGUAUCCCUUCAGUAACUUCUUCACCUAUAAUCUGCCAGUAAGAUUUGAAAAAUUCAGCAUUAAAACUAUCUAUACCUGGGAACUUAUCAAGAGGAAGACCCUUCAAGGCUUGGUCCAUAUCCUGUUUAGCCACUGGGAGCAUGAGUUGUUCUAGUUGAGAUAUGGAGAGACAGGGCCCAUCUCCUGCUACACCAAUGUCCAGACAAGGUAGUGUUGCUGCAGCAGUACCCAAGAGUGUCUGAAAAAUUGAAUAAAUUCUUGCUGAAUUUGUUUAGGCUCUAUCAACUUGACCCCUUUUUUCUAUAUAUAUGGAUGAAAUUCUAUUUCUUUCCGGCCUUGCCUUCAUAUGUGAAAAAAAAUAUUUGGUGUUUCUAUCACCAUGCUUUAUCUAAGUUGCCAUGGACUUCUGUUUUAACACUUGUUCAUAGACUCCCUCCCAAUGCUCUAGAUCCUAAAGUAUGGUUCUCUCCUGUGCUAUAAGUUGCUGAUUGAAUAAGUCUGUGGUCAUCUCCUUUUGGACAUCUUGAAGUUGUGAUCUUUACUUAUUUAAUCUCAGUUCUACUGAAGAGUACUCUUUGUUUAGAUGUUUUGACCUAUGAUCUAGGGAUUGCAAUUUCCUCCAGACUUUAAACAUAGCAUGUCCUUGCACUUGUGUUCUCCAAGGUUCUUCCACCAGAUCACUGAAAUUCCUCUGCUGUAUCACUACAUUGAGUAAUCUAAAAGGCUUUCUUAGAUUCAAUUGAUGACACUUUGUUGUUAGUACCACUGGUAAGUGGUCAGAGCAGCCAGGUUCAAGAAAUUUUGCUUCAAUGUAACUGUAUUGCUGAAAAUAGUCACUAUUGCCAAAUACCCAAUCAAUAUGUGAAUAAAUUCUAGAAUCUCCUUCUCUUUUAUUGCACCAGGUCAUAUGCCUCCCCCUACUCAAUACUGGCCCCACCUUUAUAUCAUCAAUACACUUUUGGAAUUCUUUUGUUUCUUGAGGAGUAACUGGAUCACUAUUCACUCUAUCAACAUGUGAUAGCACUGCAUUGAAGUCCCUUAGUAGUAACAAUGACAUUACCCAACAAGAUUUUCCAAUUUGUUCCACAAGUUUAUUCUUUCUGCAGCAGCAUUAAAUCCAUAGACAAAGGUGAUAGUGCUCUAAAAAUCAGUAUCUCCAUCUUCAACUCUAAAAUGGAUUAGUUGAGCUGUUGUAUCCAGAAUAGUGACCUUUACCUGUUGUCCCUUCCAUAAUAGCCAUAAUCUACCAUUUAUAGUAGUAGGAUAGUCAGUGAACACAUUCCCAUUCUCCUCCAAAUAAUCUUUUUAUUUUUUCAGCAUUAUGAACCCUAACUUUGGUUUCUAAUCAUCCCAUUAUAUCCAUAUUAUUCCUGAGCAGAAAGUAUUUUAAUUCCUUCUUCUUGAAGGGCUUAUUAAGCCCUCUAAUAUUCCAAGCACUAAUAAUUAUUUGGUCACACCUAAAUCAGGUGUUUUAACCCUGUUUGGUGCUGCUAUUGUCUUCCCUAGUGCCUCCUGUAGAACUGUUUGUGGAUCUAAUAGAGCUUGGCUUCCUUUAGAACCCUGUGGUAGAGUUUCAGAAUCUUCACCAGUAUCAGUUUGAUUCCCUUUCACUCGGUCAUCUACCUUAGUGUUCUAGGUAGCCACAUAGGUAUAAUCCUUCUUCUUCUAGGAGCUUAUUGUCUUUGCCUCUCUUAUUCUAGUUCCAGGCCUUCCUCCUUGUUUUGCAUCUACCAGGCGCAUGAUCCAUCUUCUUACAAUCAGGGCAUACUACAGGCCUCCAUUCAUUGUCCAAUAUCUAAGUUACUACACGACCCUCCUCUUCCAGAUAGAUCUCUGCAGGUAAUUCCUAUUUUACAUCUAGCUCUAUGAGGAGCAUGGCAUAAGAGAUACGUUCUAUCUCAGCUGUCAAUCUACCAGUACAAAUUGGUUUCCCAAUUCAAUUGGCAAUUCUGCUGAGAUUCUCCUCCGAACAGUAAUAGAUUGGGAACCCGGGUAGUGUUACCCAGAGAGGAACAAUGCGCAGCAUCUCAAGGGUAAACCUGAAAUUCUUCUCCCAAUUCCUCAGUAUCAAAGGUCGACUGUUGUAUGUAUAAGGUCCAUUCUGCAGUAUUUGGGAUUUACCUUCCUCGUUGGCAAAUAGAAAUAUAAAGUACUCAUCGUUAUGGAGAUAAACUCGCGACAUUUCAAUAUAAUUCCACACACUAUAAACGAAUUUGAGUAUAUCCAUGAAGAUUGGAGGUACCUCCCAUGACGUGCCCAAUCAGUGGAUUUUUCCAUUUAUCUCACUCCGAUUUCACUUCCACAGCACUGAUUUGGACAAAUUUUCUACCCUCUUUUAUCACAGGAGGGAUGUAACAAAGUUUUAAUCCAUUUUGAAUUUGACGAUUAUCUUGAGUAGGAGAUGGAGGUGCCGCUACAGGAGGGGAAGCUUCCACAAGGGGGGUGACAAAACUGAGUUUUCGCACUACAUUCGAGCUUUCUGGCUCAGUUCUGGAUCAUUCCUUGGCAUAUUUGGAAUUUCAAUUGCUGGUACAACCGUCACUAUUUUCUCCGUUCCCGGUACCCAACUUCCAA
rnacentral:lncRNA from 1 species